GAUGAACGCUAGCUACAGGCUUAACACAUGCAAGUCGCGGGGCAGCAUGGGGGUUGCUUGCAAUCCCCGAUGGCGACCGGCGCACGGGUGAGUAACGCGUAUCCAACCUGCCCUUCACCACGGGAUAACCCGGCGAAAGUCGGACUAAUACCGUAUGUUGUCCAUUGACGGCAUCCGAUUUGGACGAAAGGCUUGGCGGUGAGGGAUGGGGAUGCGUCCGAUUAGCCAGACGGCGGGGUAACGGCCCACCGUGGCUACGAUCGGUAGGGGUUCUGAGAGGAAGGUCCCCCACACUGGAACUGAGACACGGUCCAGACUCCUACGGGAGGCAGCAGUGAGGAAUAUUGGUCAAUGGGCGUAAGCCUGAACCAGCCAAGUAGCGUGCAGGAUGACGGCCCUAUGGGUUGUAAACUGCUUUUAUGCGGGGAUAAAGUGGCCCACGUGUGGGCUUUUGCAGGUACCGCAUGAAUAAGGACCGGCUAAUUCCGUG
rnacentral:rRNA from 1 species